rnacentral:tRNA from 1 species
GACUCGCUAGCUCAGUUGGUAGAGCAUUACACUUUUAAUGUAGUGGUCUCGGGUUCGAGUCCCGAGCGAGUCA